UACGAAGGGGGCUAGCGUUGCUCGGAAUUACUGGGCGUAAAGCGCACGUAGGCGGUCUUUAAGUCGGGGUGAAAUCCUGGAGCUCAACUCCAGAACUGCCUUCGAUACUGGAAGACUCGAGUCCGGGAGAGGUGAGUGGAACUGCGAGUGUAGAGGUGAAAUUCGUAGAUAUUCGCAAGAACACCAGUGGCGAAGGCGGCUCACUGGCCCGGUACUGACGCUGAGGUGCGAAAGCGUGGGAGCAAACAGG
rnacentral:rRNA from 1 species